GAGUGGACGCAUCACUGGUGUUCGGGUUGUCAUGCCAAUGGCACUGCCCGGUAGCUAAAUGCGGAAGAGAUAAGUGCUGAAAGCAUCUAAGCACGAAACUUGCCCCGAGAUGAGUUCUCCCUGAGACUUUAAGUCUCCUGAAGGAACGUUAAAGACGAUGACGUUGAUAGGCCGGGUGUGUAAGCGCAGCGAUGCGUUGAGCUAACCGGUACUAAUGAACCGUGAGGCUUAACCUUACAACGCCGAAG
rnacentral:rRNA from 1 species